rnacentral:tRNA from 1 species
GGCCCAGUGGCUCAGUUGGUUAGAGCGCCGCCCUGUCACGGCGGAGGUCAGGGGUUCGAGCCCCCUUUGGGUCG